GGCACAGUUACUUCACAUGAGUCUGAAGGCAUACAUAAGGCAGCACGAUUUGGAGAGACAUCAAGGGAUGAUGCUGAUGUACUGGAGGCAGAAAGUAAGUCCAGUCACGAGAUAAUUCGAUGCAGCACUACGAACAUGACGACGGGAGUCUUGAGCAAUCAUAUGAAGAGUUCAAGUCAUCAGAUGCUGGCAAACCCUUCAAAGUACGAUAUAAAUCCCAAAACAGCAUACAUUUCUUUCUGAGCUACCCCAGCACAUAUGUCUUUUUACCCCUUUGUACUGGUGCAUUUUUGCAGAUCCAUUUUUAUUAGCUGUGUAGAAAAAUUACUGGCUUACUGUAUUUAAUGACCAAAAUGUCACCACACUUCUUGUGUAGGUUUAUAUUGUUCAGUUGAGUUCUUUUGAAUUUUUAUAAACAACUCUCUUCUCAUCCAAAUAGAACAAGGUCUCAAUUUAGAAUUGCUUUAGGACAUAGUUUGUUUCAUGAAUGCAGGAUUUUUACUUGGUUCUCUAACCAUGCAUAUUUUUUAUUCUUAAUAACCGUUUCAAUACAUCUGCUUUGUAAUCCUAUUCUGGUUCUGAUAACCAGUCCACCGUUGUUUUCCUUGUAGCAGCAUAGCUGAUGUUACUGCAACUGGGGCUGCACUGGGAGACAAACAAUCGAUGGGAAAUCUGCACUUGUCCUGGAAAGGUUUCUCAGCUUAUCCAGGCUCUGAACCUUCUAGCAGAAGAGAAAUGG
rnacentral:lncRNA from 1 species